rnacentral:rRNA from 1 species
UACGUAGGGUGCGAGCGUUGUCCGGAAUUACUGGGCGUAAAGAGCGCGUAGGCGGAGAUCUAAGCGUGGCCUGAAAGCCCCCGGCUCAACCGGGGAGUGCGGCUGCGAACUGGGUUUCUUGAGGACGAUAGAGGAGAGUGGAAUUCCUGGUGUAGCGGUGAAAUGCGUAGAUAUCAGGAGGAACACCCGAGGCGAAGGCGGCUCUCUGGGUCGUACCUGACGCUGAGGCGCGAAAGCGUGGGGAGCGAACGGG